CAGUGUGAUGAAAAACAGGGGCAGUGGAAGCAGAUUGUACAGAAAAGGAUGAUCCAAAAGGUCUUCCCGCAUUGUCUGGAA